AAAGUCGUAACAAGGUCUCCGUUGGUGAACCAGCGGAGGGAUCAUUAAAGAGUUGCAAAGCUCCUUAAAACCAUCGUGAACUUAUCCGUCCGUGUUGCUUCGGCGGGCGGCCCCUCCCCGGGGCCGUAGCCCAACCCCUUCUCCAGAGGGGCGAGGGCGCCCGCCGGAGGUACGAAACUCUUCUGUAUUAUAGUGGCACCUCUGAGUAAACAAGCAAAUAAGUUAAAACUUUCAACAACGGAUCUCUUGGCUCUG
rnacentral:misc_RNA from 1 species